GACUUUUGCUUAAGAGCCGUUAAUUUUAUCAUAUUUAACUAAUAUUUACACAAUAACAACGAAAUAAAUUGUUAUUAGCACUUCUAGAUAACGAAUGACAAUAACAGCUCUAACAAAUAAUGUGUUGCGUUGAGUUGUCAUAGUCGCCACAGCUUGCACACACCUUAUCUUGUUGGCACCAACACAGUGAUUAACUAGACCUUAUGCAAAAACGCAACUUUCGUAUAUAACGGAUUUUUUCUUGUGAUUUGGAAUUGGUCAUUGUUUACUCCAAAAUUUUUCAUCCUCAUCCCCUUCACCUUGACCCGUACCAGGUUGCAUCCUCUGAUAACAUUAUCUCUCGUAAUUUCAGCACCACUCGUUUGAAACCAUCCAAAAAACAGGGAGUAGGGGGAGUUCGUGGCGAGAUAGGGACUACGGUGAUGAUGGUUUGAUGAUCUAGGUUGGCCGGAUAAUGUGGCUUCGAUGCAUGUUGGUCGUGUGUGUGUCGUAUGAGGAAGGGAAGAGAGGGAUGGAGUGAGAGAGUUUUGGAGAAUUCCAGAAAUGAAUGGAAGAGACAUGAAUAAGUGAGGGUGUCUCCCCCGAAACACACCACAAGAAAAUUAAAAUCCUCUCUUUUCCGAGUAAUGUUAUUCAUACCAUAUUUUGUACUAUAUUUUUAUACCACCUUAAGUAACAUAUGAUGUAGACAGCCACAUCAUCUGAAAAAUUUGCAAAACCCAAGGAAAUGAAGGAGAAAGACUCCUCGUAUACCACAAUUAUCAUUUAAUUAA